GACGAACGCUGGCGGCGUGCCUAACACAUGCAAGUCGAACGGGACCGGGGGCAACUCCGGUUCAGUGGCGGACGGGUGCGUAACACGUGAGGAACAUGACUUUCGGUGGGGGAUAGCCGGCCCAACGGCCGGGUAAUACCGCGUACGACCUGUUGGGGACAUCCCCGACUGGUGAAAGCAGCAAUGCGCCGAAAGGGUGCCUCGAGGCCUAUCAGCUAGUUGGUGGGGUAACGGCCCACCAAGGCGACGACGGGUAGCUGGUCUGAGAGGAUGGCCAGCCACAUUGGGACUGAGACACGGCCCAGACUCCUACGGGAGGCAGCAGGGGGGAAUAUUGCGCAAUGGGCGAAAGCCUGACGCAGCGACGCCGCGUGUGGGAUGACGGCCUUCGGGUUGUAAACCACUGUCGGGAGGGACGAAUGCGCCGCAAGGCGAGUGACGGUACCUCCAAAGGAAGCACCGGCUAACUCCGUGCCAGCAGCCGCCGUAAUAC
rnacentral:rRNA from 1 species